GCUCUCUGUGAAACUAUAAAUAGAGAGUCGGACCUGCCCGGUGAAGCAUUUUUAACGGCCGCGGUACUCUGACCGUGCAAAGGUAGCAUAAUCAUUUGCCUUAUAAUUGAAGGCUUGUAUGAAUGGUUUGACAAGAAUAGAUCUGUCUCUUUAUAAUUAACUAAAAUUUUAUUUAUAGGUGAAGAAGCCUAUAUUAAAUUGAAAGACAAGAAGACCCUAUCGAGCUUUAAAGUAAUUAAUAAACCUAUAAUCAUAUAUAUAUUGAACUACUUAUUAAAAAUUUUAGUUGGGGCGACUAAGGAACAAACAAAGCUUCCUUGAAGUUUUAAUAUUUACAAAUUAUGAUCCAAAUAUUUUGAUUAAAGAAAUUAGUUACCGUAGGGAUAACAGCAUUAUCUUUUUUAAGAGCUCAAAUCGAAAAAAAGGUUUGUGACCUCGAUGUUGGACCAGAAUGUCCUAAAGAUGUAGCCGUCUUUAAGGGUUGGUCUGUUCGACCAUUAAAAUUCUACGUGAUCUGAGUUCAGACCGGCGCGAGCCAGGUCAGUUUCUAUCUUCAAUUUUUAACAUGGGCUUAGUACGAAAGGAUUAGUCUAUAGUAACAGUUAUUAUGUCUGAUAAAGUAUAAAAUAAGAUUUAGUAAUUUAAUUUCAAUCAAAUUAGCAGAGAUAAUGCAAUUGACUUAGGAUCAAUAGACAUAGGUGAAAAUCCUUUAUUUGAUAUUAUAAAGAUGGCAGACAAA
rnacentral:rRNA from 1 species